rnacentral:rRNA from 1 species
UACGUAGGGUGCGAGCGUUAAUCGGAAUUACUGGGCGUAAAGGGUGCGCAGGCGGAUAUAUAAGUUAGAUGUGAAAUACCCGGGCUUAACCUGGGAAUGGCAUUUAAGACUGUAUGUCUAGAGUUUGUCAGAGGGGGGUAGAAUUCCAAGUGUAGCAGUGAAAUGCGUAGAGAUUUGGAGGAAUACCGAUGGCGAAGGCAGCCCCCUGGGAUAGAACUGACGCUCAGGCACGAAAGCGUGGGUAGCAAACAGG